AUUGAACGCUGGCGGCAUGCUUUACACAUGCAAGUCGAACGGUAACAGGCCGCAAGGUGCUGACGAGUGGCGAACGGGUGAGUAAUGCAUCGGAACGUGCCCAGUCGUGGGGGAUAACGCAGCGAAAGCUGUGCUAAUACCGCAUACGAUCUAUGGAUGAAAGCGGGGGACCGUAAGGCCUCGCGCGAUUGGAGCGGCCGAUGUCAGAUUAGGUAGUCGGUGGGGUAAAGGCUCACCAAGCCGACGAUCUGUAGCUGGUCUGAGAGGACGACCAGCCACACUGGGACUGAGACACGGCCCAGACUCCUACGGGAGGCAGCAGUGGGGAAUUUUGGACAAUGGGCGCAAGCCUGAUCCAGCCAUGCCGCGUGCAGGAUGAAGGCCUUCGGGUUGUAAACUGCUUUUGUACGGAACGAAAAGGUUUGGCCUAAUAAGCUGAGCUCAUGACAGUACCGUAAGAAUAAGCACCGGCUAACUACGUGCCAGCCGCCGCCGUAA
rnacentral:rRNA from 1 species